ACCCGGACCAUGAAAAAAGUUUAAAUGUUUUUGUGCAACGUGUAUGUGGCCGUUUCUUUCUGUUUUUUUGCUGUUUGCUGUUGUACGGAGGACUAAGUUAGCAUUCAAAAUUUAAAAAUCAAAUGUACAUUCCUAAGAUGCACUUUUUUACACCUCUAUGUAGCGGUACUUUUUUAGUAUUUGACCAUUAGCUCCGAUGAUGACGUUUAUGUCGAAAGCGCUCAGCUAAGGAAAUAAAAUUAUUUACACACUUUGA
rnacentral:lncRNA from 1 species